GGUUUCCAGGGAUGUCAUAUUUCAUGAAUCAUGUUUUCCUUUUAAAACUGUAUCUUCUUCUGUUCAUCCUUCUGCUUUAUCCCUUCCUUUUGUUCCUUCUGGAGAACAUGAUGAUGAUUCUGAUUCUCCCAUCCUCCUCUCAUCUCCUCCUCCUCCUACAUCUGUGCAAGUACCUCCUUAUACUGUCCCUGACUCUAUUGACUCCACCUUCACCCCUUAUUUCAAUCCUGAUAUCUCACCUCUUGUCCUAGCUUCUUCUCCUUUUGUUCCUGCUCCUAGAAAGUCUCAACGACAGCAUAAUCCUCCCACUUAUCUUAAGGAUUAUGUUUGUCAACUACCUGCCUUUUCUGGUU
rnacentral:lncRNA from 1 species